UACCCCGUCUUGAAACACGGACCAAGGAGUCUAACAUAUGUGCGAGUACAGGGGUGGCAAACCCCCGUGCGCAAUGAAAGUGACAGUGGUUGGAUAUUUGCACAAUCCGCCGGCCUCAAUCCCUCGGGAGAACGGUCUGAGUGUGAGCAUACAUGUUGGGACCCGAAAGUUGGUGAACUAUGCCUGAAUAGGGUGAAGCCAGGGGAAACUCUGGUGGAG
rnacentral:rRNA from 1 species